UACGGAGGGUGCAAGCAUUGAUCGGAAUUACUGGGUGUAAAGGGCGCGUAGGCGGCAGGAUAAGUCGGAUGUGAAAUUCCGGGGCUCAACCCCGGAGCUGCAUUUGAAACUAUCCAGCUAGAGGUUAGUAAGGGAAAACGGAAUUCCACGUGUAGCGGUGAAAUGCGUAGAUAUGUGGAAGAACACCGGUGGCGAAGACGGUUUACUGGGCUGUAACUGACGCUGAGGCGCGAAAGCUAGGGGAGCAAACAGG
rnacentral:rRNA from 1 species